AGCACUGUUUCGGCAAGGGGGUCAUCCCGACUUACCAACCCGAUGCAAACUGCGAAUACCGGAGAAUGUUAUCACGGGAGACACACGGCGGGUGCUAACGUCCGUCGUGAAGAAGGAAACAACCCAGACCGCCAGCUAAGGUCCCAAAGUCAUGGUUAAGUGGGAAACGAUGUGGGAAGGCCCAGACAGCCAGGAUGUUGGCUUAGAAGCAGCCAUCAUUUAAAGAAAGCGUAAUAGCUCACUGGUCGAGUCGGCCUGCGCGGAAGAUGUAACGGGGCUAAACCAUGCACCGAAGCUGCGGCAGCGACGCUUAUGCGUUGUUGGGUAGGGGAGCGUUCUGUAAGCCUGUGAAGGUGUGCUGUGAGGCAUGCUGGAGGUAUCAGAAGUGCGAAUGCUGACAUAAGUAACGAUAAAGCGGGUGAAAAGCCCGCUCGCCGGAAGACCAAGGGUUCCUGUCCAACGUUAAUCGGGGCAGGGUGAGUCGACCCCUAAGGCGAGGCCGAAAGGCGUAGUCGAUGGGAAACAGGUUAAUAUUCCUGUACUUGGUGUUACUGCGAAGGGGGGACGGAGAAGGCUAUGUUGGCCGGGCGACGGUUGUCCCGGUUUAAGCGUGUAGGCUGGUUUUCCAGGCAAAUCCGGAAAAUCAAGGCUGAGGCGUGAUGACGAGGCACUACGGUGCUGAAGCAACAAAUGCCCUGCUUCCAGGAAAAGCCUCUAAGCAUCAGGUAACAUCAAAUCGUACCCCAAACCGACACAGGUGGUCAGGUAGAGAAUACCAAGGCGCUUGAGAGAACUCGGGUGAAGGAACUAGGCAAAAUGGUGCCGUAACUUCGGGAGAAGGCACGCUGAUAUGUAGGUGAAGUCCCUCGCGGAUGGAGCUGAAAUCAGUCGAAGAUACCAGCUGGCUGCAACUGUUUAUUAAAAACACAGCACUGUGCAAACACGAAAGUGGACGUAUACGGUGUGACGCCUGCCCGGUGCCGGAAGGUUAAUUGAUGGGGUUAGCGGUAACGCGAAGCUCUUGAUCGAAGCCCCGGUAAACGGCGGCCGUAACAAUAACGGUCCUAAGGUAGCGAAAUUCCUUGUCGGGUAAGUUCCGACCUGCACGAAUGGCGUAAUGAUGGCCAGGCUGUCUCCACCCGAGACUCAGUGAAAUUGAACUCGCUGUGAAGAUGCAGUGUACCCGCGGCGAGACGGAAAGACCCCGUGAACCUUUACUAUAGCUUGACACUGAACAUUGAGCCUUGAUGUGUAGGAUAGGUGGGAGGCUUUGAAGUGUGGACGCCAGUCUGCAUGGAGCCGGCCUUGAAAUACCACCCUUUAAUGUUUGAUGUUCUAACGUUGGCCCCUGAUCGGGGUUGCGGACAGUGUCUGGUGGGUAGUUUGACUGGGGCGGUCUCCUCCUAAAGAGUAACGGAGGAGCACGAAGGUUGGCUAAUCCUGGUCGGACAUCAGGAGGUUAGUGCAAUGGCAUAAGCCAGCUUGACUGCGAGCGUGACGGCGCGAGCAGGUGUGAAAAAAG
rnacentral:rRNA from 1 species